AAUUAAUGAGCUUGUACUUUAAGCAUUUGUUUUGAAAACUUAAAAAAGAAUAUUAUAAUUAUUCUAUUAAUUU
rnacentral:tRNA from 2 species